rnacentral:misc_RNA from 1 species
UCCGCACUCACUGACCGGCAAUGUUCACCACAUCCAGCUCUCUCAUGGGCGGUGCCGGCGGCCCGUCGGCUCGCCCACCCGGCGGCGUCUUCGCCGGCACACCCGGCGCGGUUGCAGCGCGGCUGACACCGAGCCAGUACUGGCUUCGUCAGCGCCAGGAGGCUGUGUUGGCGGAAAUGAUCAGGAUGGCCGUGCCGCUGGACGCGCAGGGCAAUAUGGUGGCGGAGCGGUACUCGACCGCUGCCGCCGCCUCUGCUGAGCCGGUCAUCACAACGUGGCGUCUUCUCAUCUUCGACGACUGGGGCCGCGACAUCAUUGCGCCGCUCCUAAAGGUCGGCCAACUGCGCGAACUUGGCGUCACCCUGUACCUGCACAUCGCCACGGAGCGUGAUCCGGUGCCGGGGGCCCCGGCCAUCUACUUUUGCGCGCCGACAGAGGAGAACAUCACCCGCAUCGCGAAGGACUGCGCGCAGAACCUGUAUGAGUGGGUCUACCUCAACUUCACAACGCAGAUCCCGCGACCGCAGCUGGAGUUGCUGGCGCAGCAGCUCAGCGCCUCGCCACUAGAGUCGAUUCGGCACAUCCACGUGUACGACCGCACGUUGAGCUACGUGGCCUUGGAGGACGACCUCUUCUCCCUCAUGCUGAACAACUCCUUCCCGCUGCUUAACAAGACAAACGCCAAGGACGAAGAAAUAGAGACACACCUCAAUCAGGUCGUUCUGGGCAUCUCACACGUGUGUCUGUCACUGCAGGUGCUGCCCAUCCUGGUGCACUCCCGCUCCGGCGCUGCGGCGGAGGUCGCUCGACGGCUCUCUGUGCGGCUGAACGACGCGCUGAACGACCGGCAGCUGACACCGGCGCCCUCCUCGGUGCUGGGGCGGCCGCUGCUUCUUCUCGUCGAUCGCUCCAGCGACCUCGCAACGGCGCUGCACCACCCCUUCACGUACCGCGGCCUUCUCGUCGAGAUCGGCGGCAUGAAGCUGAACAAGUGCACCAUCACCACUCCAGACGGGAAGGACGAGAUACUCGAGGUGGAUCCUGACAAGGACGAGGUCUACCGCGAGAACGCCAACCUCGAGUUCGGCACUGUCGGCGGCAACAUCGAAGCCGCGCUGCGCCGCUACAAGGAGGAGUACGCCGCGCUGGCACAAGAGGCACCCGGCGGUGCCGGUGGCAUGAUGGGCGACGGCGGCGACGGCAACGACAUGUCGAAGCUGCUGGCGAACGCGCCAGCGCUGGCGGAGCGGAAGCGCUGCCUCGAUGCCCACACAAAGCUUGCCUUCAGUAUCCUCAGCAAGAUUCGCUUGAGGCACCUGGACCACUACCACGGUGUGGAGCUGGCCGUACUGCAACAGGAGGGGCUCGACGAGCAGGAGUUUCACAACCUGCUGACCAACAGCCUCGGCACCACAGAGGACAGACAGCGGCUGUACCUCAUCGCAUACCUGAUGUGCGCCAAAGAAGAGGAGGCACGCUACGUGCAGAGCCACGAGGGCGCCGUCAGCGAAGGGGCCGCCGGCUUCCCGGCUCUUGCAUAUUUGAAGCACCUGCGGAACUGGUCCCUGGCGACGCAGAGCCCCAGCGCGGCGCAGCCGAACCCCAGUCAGGGCUUUGGCUGGGGUUUUGCGCAGCAGAUCGCCAAGAACAUUGCGAGCUCGCUGGGGAGCAAGACAGAGACGAUGCUGCCGCUCACGAAGCUGGUGGACGCACUCAUGCAGGACGGACCUGGCGGCGCGCCAGGUUCGGCGAGCAGCGGUGGUGCAAGCGGUGUGGGCGGCUCGUACAACAGCCCGACGAGCGCACUUCCUGGUGGCAGCAGCGGCGCAUCCGGUAGCCUGCGCGGCAAGCUGCUUGAAACCGUCGAAGCGUACGACCCUCGCACGAAGAAGCCGGUGGACCUGCGCGAAGCGGUCUUCUCGCAAGCGAUCGUGUUUGCCCUCGGUGGUGGCAGCGUGGCGGAGUACGACAACUUGAAGGCAUGGGAGGCGAGCAAGCCGCGCAAGUCGGUGAUGUAUGGCUGUACAUCGGUGAUCUCUGGCGAGGACAUGCUCCGGCAGUUAACCAUCUUGGGUGCAUCGCAGAACCCGUAAGGGCCUACUGCAUAUACUCUGGCGUGUGCGUUUAUCGAUGGCGUUGCCAUCAUGUAGGCUUGCGCUGGCCUUGAGGUGUGCUGUUGCGGAUGCUGCCAAUCGUGUCGGAUGUUUACAUGCGCAUCAACUCUUGUUUUAAGCCUGUUCGCCCCCUUUUCUCCUUGCCGGUCGUCUUCGCCCUCACUUGGGCCAACGUGACGAGGGACACCGUUGGGCAUCUCAUUCCCCUCACACACGCGCCCCGUACCCUCCUCUUCUUCCUCGUGCUUGCACGCCGACCUGAACACACGUGUGCGUGUGCGUGUGUGCCUCUCACGCGGCAGUAGCGGGGUACUGUGUUCUAUGUUCCGUGUUCUCCCC